UGAGGAGACACGUGCUGUCGGACGAACAUAUCUUAAGAUUAUGUUAACUACCGCCACGUAAGCUUGUACUUUGAUAUAUCCAUCCUAGUCACUUUGACUGCAUCACAAUGGAGCUGAUCAAAUUAACAGAUAAAUUGUAGACUACAAUGAUGCUGAUGUCUUGCUUCCGAUGUUGUUGCGAAGCCCUUUGACAUAUUCGGUCCUUUUACUACGAUACGACAACUCGUUGAUUACGAGGAUCUUCAAGGGAGGUUCCUCGGCAAUCUCGGUUAUCGAUGAUAAAGUGACAGCGAUGGUUCCUGUGAGCAUCCAUUUAGUGUAGCCCUAUGAUUUAUCUACGUGAGCGACAUGGGGCGACGACUGCGAGGCAAAUAAUAAGGUAACUACUGGAGUAAACACGAGGAUAAGUUUAUACACACGCAUACCUCCCGGCUUGAAACGUCCGGUAUGUUUAUGGCGCAGUGGUGAACACGCCCGGUGACCUCACAGUACACGAAUUUGUCAGAUUUGCCAUGGGGACCCUGCUCAUUGCUGGCAUUAUUGUCCUUGUCGUCUGCUAUCUGCUGAUCCUGCUGGUCGGCGUGCUGGCAGCCCGCUUUGUCAAGGUGGACUCGGGCGGGUCAGAGGUCGGGGUCAGCCGCAGCGAGGAGGCCGUGGUGGCAAGCCGCAGCUUGCGGGGCUUUGUUGCCACGAUGACGAUGAUAGCCACGACAGUGGGAGGUGGUUUCAUAAAUGGAACUGCUGAGUCCAUCACGACAGGAGGCCUGGCGUGGACCAUCUCACCCUUUGCGAUCACCGUUGGGCUUACGAUAGGAGGUCUGGUGUUCGCUGGCCCCAUGCGACGAGGAUGCUACCUCACCAUGCUGCAGCCCUCUUGAGCAUCGCUAUGGCCGACUGGUGACCGCCCUCGUCUAUGCGGCGUCCCUGUGCGGGGACCUGUUCUGGACAGCGGCCAUUCUCAACGCCUUAGGUACCAGCCUCAGCGUUGUCAUGGGAAUCCCAGUAGAGACGUCCAUCUUGGUGUCGGCAGGGGUAACGACUCUGUACACGAUGGUUGGUCAGAUGAUCUCCGUGGCCUACACAGACGUGGCGCAGCUCCUCCUCAUGACAGUGGGCCUGGUUCUUUGCGUCCCAUUCAUCGCCAGCAACGAGCGGGUCGGAAGCAUCACACAGAACAAGGAGCUUUGGUUUGGUCAGAUAGAGAACGACUCGAUCCUGCCCUGGAUAGACCUGGCUUUGGCAAUGAUUCUAGGCACCAUUCCCUGGCAGUCCUAUUUCCAGCGAGUACUGUCUGUGAAAACAGUGUUCCAGGCACAGUACCUUUCAGUUCGGAGGUUUCGGUUCUCUUCUUUUUGCUGUGCCACCAAUUCUUAUUGGUGCUUACUCAACCGUGUCGG